GUGUGUUCUCUCUUCUCUCUCUCGCUCUGUCGAAGGCAAAGGCGAUUCACAUUGAAUUUUUUCUUCUCUUCCAAUAGAUUUUUUUCUUCUCUUCCAAUUGAUUCCCACGUCUGAUUCUCCAUGGAUUCGGCGUCGAUUUGGUUCCGGUGAAGCAGACGGAUUUGAUUCCGGUGAAGAUCGAUCUGUCGAAACCCUAAUAUUUGGGGAAGAUUCAAGCACUUCGAUUGCGUUAGUUGAGCUCAAGCAAGUCACAGUUAAGGCGACAAGGAAACAACAUUUCAACCAACCGAAAGAGUCCACAAAUUUUGUGGGACUUAUGAAUAGUCAGCAGGGGAGUGGCUAUCCUCAAACCAUUUCUUUUGAUUCCCUCUACCCAAAUAUACCUACUCUUUCGUCCCCAGUUCCUCUCUUUAGUUCCCAAGUCAGUUCCGCAGCUUCCCCAAGUGAAGACACAACUGCAAGUCGUAGGGAAAGAAGGAAAUGGACACCUUCUGAUGACCGGAUUCUCAUUAGCGGGUGGUUAAACACCAGCAAGGAUGCUGUGAAAGGCAAUGAUCAG